UAUUAUAACAGUGUGUAUUAAGCUGUACAUAUAAAGCCUACUGACCAUACUGAGGAAGGAGGAAAGGAGGCUCUACAGUACGACUACAGCACAGUUAGUGUGUGCGAUAUUCAUUUAGCGUGAUGUAUUUAAAAGUGGAUGACUACUGUAUAAAACAUGUGAUGAACCUAGUAGUUGAGAGCUUCAAGUGCCUUGGCGUCCACAUCGCCAACAAACUAACAUGGUCCAAACACACCAAGACAGUCGUGAAGAGGACACAACAAAACCUUUUCCCCCUCAGGAGACUGAAAAGAUUUGGCAUGGGUCCUCAGAUCCUCAAAAGGUUCUACAGUUGCACCAUCGAGAGCAUCACUGCCCUGGUAUGGCAACUGUUCGGCCUCCGACCGCAAGGCACUACAGAGGGUAGUGCGAAAGGCCCAGUACAUCACUGAGGCCAAGCUUCCUGCCAUCCAGGACCUCUACACCAGGCGGUGUCAGAGGAAGGUCCUAGAAAUUGUCAAAGACUCCAGCCACCCAAGUCAUAUCCUGUUCUCUCUGCUACCGCAAGGUAAGUGGUACCGGAGCCCCAAGUCUAGGUCCAAGAGGCUUCUACCUGCAGGCCAUAAGACUCCCGAACAGUUAAUCAAAUGACUACCCAGACUAUUUACAACCCCCCUCCACGCUGCUGCUUCUCUCUGUUAGUAUAUAUGUAAAGUCAAUCUGCUACCUACAUGUACAUAUUACCUCAAUUACCUCGACUAACACGGACUCUGUUCCGGUACCCCCCUGUAUAUGGCCUCGCUAUUGUUAUUUUACUGCUGCUAUUUAAUUACUUGUUACUUUUAUUUAUUUCAUUUUUUGGGUAUUUUUCUUAAAACUGCAUUGUUGGUUAAGGGCUUGUAAAUAAGCAUUUCCCUUUAAUGUCUACACAUUGUAUUCAGCAUUUCCCUUUAAGGUCUACACAUUGUAUUCAGCAUUUCCCUUUAAGGUCUACACAUUGUAUUCAGCAUUUCCCUUUAAGGUCUACACAUUGUAUUCAGCAUUUCCCUUUAAGGUCUACACGUUGUAUUCAGCAUUUCCCUUUAAUGUCUACACGUGGUAUUCAGCAUUUCCCUUUAAGGUCUACACGUUGUAUUCAGCAUUUCCCUUUAAUGUCUACACGUUGUAUUCAGCAUUUCCCUUUAAUGUCUACACGUGGUAUUCAGCAUUUCCCUUUAAGGUCUACACGUUGUAUUCAGCAUUUCCCUUUAAUGUCUACACGUGGUAUUCAGCAUUUCCCUUUAAUGUCUACACGUUGUAUUCAGCAUUUCCCUUUAAGGUCUACACGUGCUAUUCAGCAUUUCCCUUUA